rnacentral:rRNA from 1 species
UACGGAGGGUGCAAGCGUUAUCCGGAUUUACUGGGUUUAAAGGGUGCGUAGGUGGGUCUGUAAGUCAGUGGUGAAAUCUCCGGGCUUAACUCGGAAACUGCCAUUGAUACUAUAGAUCUUGAAUUAUCUGGAGGUGAGCGGAAUAUGUCAUGUAGCGGUGAAAUGCUUAGAUAUGACAUAGAACACCAAUUGCGAAGGCAGCUCACUACGGAUAUAUUGACACUGAGGCACGAAAGCGUGGGGAUCAAACAGG